UGGGCUCGUGUGGUAGUGGACGAUCCUUUCGGAUUCCGGAUCCGACAACCCGGGUUCAAAUCCCGGCGGGCCCGU
rnacentral:tRNA from 1 species